GCGGGCCGGGUCUCCAUUCUGGGGGCCCGGGACCGGCGACCCUUCCCCGCCCCCGGCACCACCGGCCGGGCGCCCCCUAAGCCCUGGCCGAGCGGGGGCCGCCCCCUGCCUGCUGUCCGCGUCCCCCCGCGGCCCGCACCUGAGGAUGUUGUCCGCAAAUUCCUUUCCAAAUCUCAACAAACAUUGUUUCUUGACGAUAGAUUUUAAAGAGCACAGCUCGAGGGAGCUCAGGUCUCAGCAGUUGCGGCUCAUGGGGCCUGGAGCACAAGUUCAGUAGCUGUGGCACACAGGCUGGGUUGCUCGGGGGCACACAGGAUCUUCCCGGACCAGGGAUUGAACCACUGUCUCCUGCAUUGGCAGUCGGAUUCUUUACCACUGAGCCACCUGGGAAGCCCCCAAGCCCCAUCUUUACAGCAGGUAGACCACAGACCAGUUGGAACCGGAAGGUUGAUGAUGCUGACUCUGGAUUACCUCAACACCAACCAAUCAGAAGGACGUCCACAGCUUACCACGCCCUGCUCCUUGAACACCAUGAUUCCUCACUGCCCCGUCUAGGACAGGACACAUAGUCUUGAGGGCAUUUGCCCGCUAUGACCCCCUUUGCCUGGCAGAGCAAUAAAGCUAUUUUUGU